ACCAAGGCGACGACGGGUAGCCGGCCUGAGAGGGCGACCGGCCACACUGGACUGAGACACGGCCCAGACUCCUACGGGAGGCAGCAGUGGGGAAUAUUGCGCAAUGGGCGAAAGCCUGACGCAGCGACGCCGCGUGAGGGACGAAGGCCUUCGGGUUGUAAACCUCUUUCAGCAGGGAAGAAGCGAAAGUGACGGUACCUGCAGAAGAAGCACCGGCUAACUACGUGCCAGCAGCCGCGGUAAUACGUAGGGUGCAAGCGUUGUCCGGAAUUAUUGGGCGUAAAGAGCUCGUAGGUGUUUGUCGCGUCUGCUGUGAAAACUCGGGGCUUAACCCCGGGCCUGCAGUGGGUACGGGCAGACUAGAGUGCGGUAGGGGAGACUGGAAUUCCUGGUGUAGCGGUGAAAUGCGCAGAUAUCAGGAGGAACACCGGUGGCGAAGGCGGGUCUCUGGGCCGUAACUGACGCUGAGGAGCGAAAGCAUGGGGAGCGAACAGGAUUAGAUACCCUGGUAGUCCAUGCCGUAAACGUUGGGCGCUAGGUGUGGGGCUCUUUCCACGAGUUCCGUGCCGCAGCAAACGCAUUAAGCGCCCCGCCUGGGGAGUACGGCCGCAAGGCUAAAACUCAAAGGAAUUGACGGGGGCCCGCACAAGCGGCGGAGCAUGCGGAUUAAUUCGAUGCAACGCGAAGAACCUUACCAUGGCUUGACAUGAACGGUAAUCCGGCAGAGAUGUCGGGUCCGUAAGGGCCGUUCACAGGUGGUGCAUGGUUGUCGUCAGCUCGUGUCGUGAGAUGUUGGGUUAAGUCCCGCAACGAGCGCAACCCUCGUUCUAUGUUGCCAGCACGUAAUGGUGGGGACUCAUAGGAGACUGCCGGGGUCAACUCGGAGGAAGGUGGGGAUGACGUCAAAUCAUCAUGCCCCUUAUGUCUUGGGCUUCACGCAUGCUACAAUGGCCAGUACAAAGGGCUGCGAGACCGUAAGGUGGAGCGAAUCCCAAAAAGCUGGUCUCAGUUCGGAUCGGGGUCUGCAACUCGACCCCGUGAGGUCGGAGUCGCUAGUAAUCGCAGAUCAGCAACGCUGCGGUGAAUACGUUCCCGGGCCUUGUACACACCGCCCGUCACGUCACGAAAGUCGGUAACACCCGAAGCCGGUGGCCCAACCCUUGUGGAGGGAGCCGUCGAAGGUGGGACUGGCGAUUGGGACGAAGUCGAAACAAGGUAGCCGUACCGGGAGGUGCGGCUG
rnacentral:rRNA from 1 species